UCGAGAAUCUUUCGCAAUGGGCGAAAGCCUGACGAAGCGACGCCGUGUGUGCGAUGAAGGCCUUCGGGUUGUAAAGCACUUUUGCUUGGGAACAAGAAAGAUCGGCUAAUAACCGGUCAAUUUGAGGGUACCAGGAGAAUAAGCACCGGCUAACUCCGUGCCAGCAGCUGCGGUAAUACGGAGGGUGCAAGCAUUAAUCGGAUUUAUUGGGCGUAAAGGGCGCGUAGGCGGGAGAGAAAGUUAGAUGUGAAAGCCUGAGGCUUAACUUCAGAACAGCAUCUAAAACUUCUUUUCUAGAGGAUGAGCGGGGAAAAUGGAAUUCCACAUGUAGCGGUGAAAUGCGUAGAUAUGUGGAGGAACACCGGUGGCGAAGGCGAUUUUCUAGCUUAGACCUGACGCUGAGGCGCGAAAGCAAGGGGAGCAAACAGGAUUAGAUACCCCGGUAGUCC
rnacentral:rRNA from 1 species